GCCAGCUCAGCUGGUUAGAGCAUGGUGCUGAUAAAGCCAUGGUUGCAGAUUCCAUCCCUGUAUGGGACA